rnacentral:rRNA from 1 species
CGCCCGUCGCUCCUACCGAUUGGGUGUGCUGGUGAAGCGUUCGGAUUGGCGACUUCGACGGGCAACCGCCGUCGUCGCCGAGAAGUUCUCUAAACCCUCCCACCUAGAGGAAGGAGAAGUCGUAACAAGGUCUCC